rnacentral:rRNA from 1 species
UCUCAGUUCGGACUGCAGUCUGCAACUCGACUGCACGAAGCUGGAAUCGCUAGUAAUCGCGGAUCAGCACGCCGCGGUGAAUACGUUCCCGGGUCUUGUACACACCGCCCGUCACACCAUGGGAGUCGGAAAUGCCCGAAGCCGGUGACCCAACCAAAAGGAGGGAGCCGUCGAAGGCAGGUCUGAUAACUGGGGUGAAGUCGUAACAAGGUAUC